rnacentral:rRNA from 1 species
CAGAAUCCCGCCUAGACGUAACGAUACCAUAGCGCCGUGGCGCUUCGGUUGGUCCCGGAUAGCCGGCUUCGGCCGGUGAGUAGAGCCGUUCGUGACGGGGCUGGGGCGUGGCCGGAUGAUGGUCGCCCCUCUCCUAUCUCGCACCGCAAGUUUGUGGAGAGCCUGGUGCUAAAUCACUUGUAAACGACCUGAUUCUGGGUCAGGGUUUCGUACGUAGCAGAGCAGCUCCCUCGCUGCGAUCU